rnacentral:rRNA from 1 species
GUGAGGAAUUUUCCGCAAUGGGCGAAAGCCUGGCGGAGCAAUGCCGCGUGAAGGAUGAAGGCCUAUGGGUUGUAAACUUCUUUUCUCAGAAAAGAAUUAUGACGGUAUCUGAGGAAUAAGCAUCGGCUAACUCUGUGCCAGCAGCCGCGGUAAGACAGAGGAUGCAAGCGUUAUCCGGAAUGAUUGGGCGUAAAGCGUCUGUAGGUUGUUUAAAAAGUAUUCUGUCAAAGAUUAGGGCUUAACCCUAGAUAGGCAGAAUAAACUUUUAAGCUAGAGUUUGGUAGAGGCAGAGGGAAUUCCCGGUGGAGCGGUGAAAUGCGUAGAUAUCGGGAGGAACACCAAAGGCGAAGGCACUCUGCUGGGCCAAUACUAACACUGAGAGACGAAAGCGAGGGGAGCAAAUGGGAUUAGAUACCCGAGUAGUCC